GGGAAUUGCUGGAGAGGUUUGAGGACGAGUUUGGUGAAUUACUUGCAUGGAAAGCGUAUCCUUACCCCGUUUCAAACCCUGGCUCUACGGAGUAUGUUUGGGCGCUACUUCCAAGAGAUGUUGUUAGAAACAUAUCCCGAAGUGUUGUCAAACUUGCUUCAUUCAAUUGUGAUUCUUGUAGUUAUAUGCUCAAUACUUUCCUGCGCAUGGUAUUUUGAUCUACAUUAACUAACGACUGAAGUUAUGAUGUGUAGGAAGCGUGAGGUAUUUUGCAUGCACGGGCUUGCUUAUAAAGUGGCCUGGAACUAAAGGCAUGCGCCCUAUCAUUCUCACUUCGGCCAGUUUGGUUAGAAGUCCUGAUGAUCAUUUCAAGAUUGAUAACAACUUAACGAUCGACGUUUUUCUCCCACCUGGACAACAUGCCAAGGGCACAUUGGUAUUCUACCAUUUAAAUAGUAAUAUUGCUAUCAUCAGUCUUGAGAAGGGUAUGCGUGGCAUUUGUCCGGUUGACAUUUGCCGUGAAGGUGAUUUAUCUAAACCAGUAGUAGCUAUAGCGCGUCAAAUUGAAGAAUGAUUUUUAAUGGCCUCAAAGGGAAAAGUCAUUCAUGACAAGCCUUGUGCCAUUGAUGUCAAAAAGCUUAUGUUGUCUACUUGUAAAAUCAACAAGGUAAACUGAGAAAUGUAUGCUGUCAUUAUCUACACAGUAGCUGCUUUUGAUAGUUUGGACCAGCAUAAGUUUCAGUUAUCUCUCUAAGCAAUCUACUUAUGCACCUAGCAAACUGCUCUAUUUACGGCUCUACAACUUGUCCAUUAACCAGGAUAUGCAUUUUUUUUCUGCACUAGGCUGGAAUUGGAGGCACCCUUAUUAACUUUGAUGGGGCUUUUGUUGGCAUGAACCACUAUGAUGGAAGUGAAGAAACACCUUUCAUGCCAAGGCGUAAGAUUGUUCAAAUUCUAAAAGGAGAGAUUAAUUGGCGAAGACAAAGAGGGUUGUCCAUGGGCAUACUUCAUGGUGUUGGAUGUGGGAUAAAUCAUAAAAGGUGGCCGGUGCCUGAGCCGUACUGGCACCAUCAAAUACUUGAUCUGGAUAUCUAUGGUCUACCACCGCGUAUUGGAAGACAACUUCAAUAGACGUCAUGUUGAUGGAGUGCCAUUUUCUGAUGGUUGUCCUCGUUUUGCUCAUAUUCUGACGGGCCUAUAGUACUGCUAUUAUUGUGUAGGAUUGUCUUCUUUUUUUGACGUGAAUAGCAGGAGCUCUGCUUUUGCAUUAAAGAAGAAUAGAGGUUUUACAUAAUUCGGACAAAUCCAGGCCAAGAGCCCGGCCUUUCGUCAGAGAGUAUUGACAGGAGAAAGACAAAGAAAAAGAAUAUGAAAAGACGCCAUGUGUUUUUAA